GUGCUCACUUUGGCAGCAUAUAUAUUAAAAUUGGAACGAUAUGGAGAUUAGCAUGGCCCCUGCACAAAGAUGACAUGCAAAUUCAUGAAGCAUUCCAUAUCAAG